AGCGUCAAUGACUUCUUUAUUGACACUUUGACAAACAUGUUUCUACUGUAAUUUUUUAAUUUCUUAAACUUUGUUUUUCUUUUCUUACUUCUAGAACCCAGAUUCGUCAGAACUACACACCCAUCUGAGGCCUACUGUACCUGUUUUACUUCAUGAUCACCCCAGAUACUUCUACAAUUGACCCGCUUUGUAAGUUCUCAUAGUUACACCUUAAAAAAAACACAUUUUAGAAAAAUACCUGUGUAUUUGCUGGUAUAUUACUGAGGUACCUUUAUAAAGAUUAAUGUUGAUUAACUACCUAGUUCAAUUAAAAAUGAAAAAUGUGCCAUUUAAUCUCCCUUCUGUCAUUUUAUUCCAUAAAAAAGUCUGCAUCUUCAUGACACGAAUGAAGAUACAUAACCCAAAUCUCUGACAAAUCUCAAAUCAAUCUAUAUGAAUGGAGCCGAUUAAUCUACUUUUUUGGGCCAAACUGUUCAAUGAAUUGUAAGGAGCAGUUUCAGUUAUAUUUCCACUUAAACUCUGUUAGGCAUGGUCUGAUGAACUGUUCUUGAUCCAGAGCUCUUAGCUGAACACAAUGAACCAUGCUGUAGAACACCUGGAGUGACGUCGCUGCUCAGGGUGUCUGAUAUUGAUGCAGUCUGGGCACUAGUAUCUGUUGGCUUGCUGACUAUCACUGAAGAUGAAGUACUUCUCCAAAUCUUCUCUGCCUUGACCCUGUGUCUUCUGCCAUCAUUGUUCAGUGUAGUACUGCAAAGAACCGUCUCCAGGGUCUACCUCGCACAUUUGCUUCCGGACCGCCAUGUGCUACGUUUGGAUUACUGGUACAUGAAGAUUACCCUGAUACUGUGAAGAACACUUACAAUAUGAUGCUUGACUUGGGACAGAAAAAAAAAACACUGGCAACUUGUGUGGCCAACUCAUUGCCAUACUUAAUCUCAUCUUACUGCUACCUCCACUGUUUAGUAUAAACAAAAGCAGACAGUUUUUGCUUUGUUUCAAAAUGUUUGUAAUACAAGUUAAAACUGCAUUGAAAAAUAUAAAAAAUAUAUUAUCUUUAACUUUGAACUGUCACUACCUUUGAUUUAUGGGUAAUUAUGUGUGUGAAGAAUAGAACAUUGUUGUCAUGAAUUUUUAAUGGAUGUUUGAACCAUAUUAAGUUACUGGAGUAACGCUAACUUCUUCUUUUUUUUGUUUUUUUAUUUAAGGCAAUUGGUUAAAACUAGAUUGCUGUUCAAGUAAAUACAACUUAGAAAUGUUACUUGAUUUAGCUAAACUUAAAUGAGUUGUUUGAAAUACGCACAUAGUAUAUUGCAAUUAAUAAUUUAGUUGUUGAAAAAAGUGAUUCUGAGUUACAAGAACUUGAGUGUAAGUUUACAACAAAUAAACCUUUGUUAGUACAAAUUACUAUUCUUAUUUCACUUUACUGUUUUUUUUCAAGGCAAUCGGUUUGCAUGCUUUUUUAAAAUAACUAAUUAGAAUCAGACAACUUCCCUGCCCAGUGAACACUAGUGAGAUCAACUCAGAACACUGUAGCUGUAAUAAAGUACUGUUAUUAUAGUUACUAUACUGUACUACACUGUGUGGUUCUUUCAGCUCUCUCUUCAGUGCUAGGAUGCAUUUUUAAAGCAGUCACCUGUGCUCCUGUUUAUACUAUCCUGAGAUUCUGACUGGUGUCAUCAGUUUUGCUACUGAAUGCUUGCUAAUUGUGUGUUAUUUGAGUUCACACUGUGACACUAGAGUUAAUUAUUUGUAUGUGUAUGUGUUUUAUGAGUGAGAACAUAAAAUAUCUGUAAAAUGAAGCCAACUUUGGAGAAAUCAUUAAAAAAAUUGGAAUGUGUGGAUAGAUGCAUUCCAGUAUAAUAUAUAGCCUAGAAUAUUAUAAUUUCUAAAAUACUAAAUAAGCCAUUUUUUCGAUUAAUGGUUUUCUGGGGGACAAAACACAUAAACUUAUAAAAAUGUUGUCUUUCCAUUUGGUUUAUACUGCCAUUAUCUUGUGCCAUUAGUGAUAUAUGGUGCUUACAAGAAAGCUGUGAAUUGGUUGUUCCUGGUUGUUGUUUUACAAGUGCACUUCUAAAUAACAUUGUAAGUUCAUUGAUUAGCUAUAUUGCAGUGUAAUUUUAAUUUUACUCGUCAUAUUUUCGUCAACGUUCUGAAGAUUAUGAAAUAUUCGGGGAUUUGGAGGUGCUAAAAUGUUAUAACAUGCAGGUUUUUUCUUUCUUUUUGCGCCGAACAAAAACAAAACAAAAAACACUAAUCUACAGCACUUAAGACAUUUGACAAAAUCACACACACAACUGGCAAAAGGUAUUACAGACGACAAGGCGUAGACGUCACGUAGCUUCUCACGCGAGAAGGGGGGCACGAAAGUGUCGCGCUUCUCAUCACACGUCCUUGGUCACGGCAAGGUACGCGACGAUCGACACGACUGAGAGCUUAGUUAAGACAUUUGACAAAAUCACACACACAACUGGCAAAAGGUAUUACAGACGACAAGGCGUAGACGUCACGUAGCUUCUCACGCGAGAAGUGGGGCGACGAAAGUGUCGCGCUUCUUAUCACACAUCCUUGGUCACGGCAAGGUACGCGACGAUCGACACGACUGAUAGCUUAGUUAGCAAAGUAAAUGUAUGGCAGGUACUCCGUGCCAAAAUCAAACAUACGAACGACCGAUCGAACGUCUAUCCGAACGUCUUGAACUUUCAAACGGCUGACCCACGUGACAACCUGACGUGACGUCAGCGUCUUGAAAUUUGCAGCUUUUUAACCAUACAAGUAUACAAGCUGAUGUGUAAAGGCUAUUAAUGGACAUGAUAGGCAAUACAUAUAGCCUAAAUAUUGUACCCCAAAAACAACUUUCCUGAAUCCUGUGCUUGUGGGGCUAUGUGUUUUACUUUCAAAGAGCAGAAAUACUACCUAUAGUCUAUAGGCUGCAGUCAUUCAAUAGUCUUGACCAGUAUAAUCAUUUUAACUAGUUUUUAUUGUUAAUUUUAUUGCCCAAUGUACAAUGUUCCCACAGUCCAUAAAAAACACUCAAAAUAAAUGUAGUCUAUUAUUUUAUUUUUUACUUUUUGAUCCAGAAGGUUUUCAUAUUAGAUUUAUAUAUUUGGACUGAAUGAUCUAAUGAAUGCUCUGCAGUGUUUAUGAUAUUGAGCUGUGUAUGAUCUGAAAGCAUUGUUUGAUUUUGAGCACAGAUAAAAUGGUUUUGAGUAAAUUUCUUUAUUUUGAAAAGCGUCAGAUGGUCUCUGAAUGUAGUUUGAAGAUUUGGUUUUGUAUUUAAAUUUUUGAGAAAGUGGGUGAUGGUUCCAAGAAAUGUAUUUUAGCAAUUCAGGAAAACUGUCCUAUAGAUUAAAAACAUGCAUUGUUUUUUAUACAUAAUAUCAAACAAAUAAAGUAGGCCUAAUAAAAAGUAAAUCUAAUCAAGCAUGAUUUUUUGUUUCAAGAACUUAGAGAUCUCAACACUUACU
rnacentral:lncRNA from 1 species